rnacentral:rRNA from 1 species
GACGAACGCUAGCGGCGUGCUUAACACAUGCAAGUCGAACGGAAAGGCCCAGCUUUUGUGGGGUGCUCGAGUGGCGAACGGGUGAGUAACACGUGAGUAACCUGCCCUUGACUUUGGGAUAACUUCAGGAAACUGGGGCUAAUACCGGAUAGGAGCUCCUGCUGCAUGGUGGGGGUUGGAAAGUUUCGGCGGUUGGGGAUGGACUCGCGGCUUAUCAGCUUGUUGGUGGGGUAGUGGCUUACCAAGGCUUUGACGGGUAGCCGGCCUGAGAGGGUGACCGGCCACAUUGGGACUGAGAUACGGCCCAGACUCCUACGGGAGGCAGCAGUGGGGAAUAUUGCACAAUGGGCGGAAGCCUGAUGCAGCAACGCCGCGUGCGGGAUGACGGCCUUCGGGUUGUAAACCGCUUUCGCCUGUGACGAAGCGUGAGUGACGGUAAUGGGUAAAGAAGCACCGGCUAACUACGUG